CCUACGGGCGACAGCAGUGAGGAAUAUUGGUCAAUGGCCGCAGGGCUGAACCAGCCAAGUCGCGUGAGGGAUGACGGUCCUAUGGAUUGUAAACCUCUUUUGUCAGGGAGCAAAGGGCGCCACGUGUGGCGCUUUGCGAGUACCUGAAGAAAAAGCAUCGGCUAACUCCGUGCCAGCAGCCGCGGUAAUACGGAGGAUGCGAGCGUUACCCGGAUUUAUUGGGUUUAAAGGGUGCGCAGGCGGAAUGUCAAGUCAGCGGUAAAAUUUCGGGGCUCAACCCCGUCGUGCCGUUGAAACUGGCGUUCUUGAGUGAGCGAGAAGUAUGCGGAAUGCGUGGUGUAGCGGUGAAAUGCAUAGAUAUCACGCAGAACCCCGAUUGCGAAGGCAGCAUACCGGUGCACAACUGACGCUCAGGCACGAAAGCGUGGGUAUCGAACAGGAUUAGAUACCCUUGUAGUC
rnacentral:rRNA from 1 species